rnacentral:rRNA from 1 species
UAGCUAGUUGGUGGGGUAAGGGCCUACCAAGGCGACGAUCGGUAGCUGGUCUGAGAGGAUGGCCAGCCACACUGGAACUGAGACACGGUCCAGACUCCUACGGGAGGCAGCAGUGGGGAAUAUUGGACAAUGGGGGCAACCCUGAUCCAGCGAUGCCGCGUGUGUGAAGAAGGCCUGAGGGUUGUAAAGCACUUUCAGUGGGGAGGAGGAUUGAUUGUUUAAGAGAUGAUUAAUUGGACGUUACCCACAGAAGAAGCACCGGCUAACUCCGUGCCAGCAGCCGCGGUAAUACGGAGGGUGCGAGCGUUAAUCGGAAUUACUGGGCGUAAAGGGUGCGUAGGUGGUUGUAUAAGUUAUCUGUGAAAUUCCUGGGCUUAACCUGGGGUGGUCAGAUAAGACUGUAUGACUCGAGUACGGGAGAGGGUAGUGGAAUUUCCGGUGUAGCGGUGAAAUGCGUAGAGAUCGGAAGGAACACCAGUGGCGAAGGCGGCUACCUGGCCUAAUACUGACACUGAGGCACGAAAGCGUGGGGAGCAAACAGGAUUAGAUACCCUGGUAGUCCACGCUGUAAACGAUGUCAACUAGCUGUUGGUUAUAUGAAUAUAAUUAGUGGCGC